rnacentral:rRNA from 1 species
UUGAACGCUGGCGGUAUGCUUUACACAUGCAAGUCGAACGGGCUAUGGGGCUUGCUCCAUAGUUAGUGGCGAACGGGUGAGUAAUAUAUCGGAACAUAUCCGGAAGUGGGGGAUAACGUAGCGAAAGUUACGCUAAUACCGCAUAUGCCCUGAGGGGGAAAGGGGGGGAUCGCAAGACCUCUCGCUUUCGGAGUGGCCGAUAUCGGAUUAGCUAGUAGGUGAGGUAAAGGCUCACCUAGGCGACGAUCCGUAGCUGGUCUGAGAGGACGACCAGCCACACUGGAACUGAGACACGGUCCAGACUCCUACGGGAGGCAGCAGUGGGGAAUUUUGGACAAUGGGCGCAAGCCUGAUCCAGCAAUGCCGCGUGCAGGAUGAAGGCCUUCGGGUUGUAAACUGCUUUUGUACGGAACGAAAAGACUCCUUCUAAUAAAGGGGGUUCAUGACGGUACCGUAAGAAUAAGCACCGGCUAACUACGU